CUCGCCUACAUGAAGCUGGAGUUGCUAGUAAUCGCGAAUCAGCAUGUCGCGGUGAAUACGUUCCCGGGCCUUGUACACACCGCCCGUCACACCAUGAGAGUUGGCAAUACCCAACGUACGUGAUCUAACCCGCAAGGGAGGAAGCGUCCUAAGGUAGGGUCAGCGAUUGGGGUGAAGUCGUAACAAGGUAGC
rnacentral:rRNA from 1 species